UAGGGAAUAUUGGACAAUGGGUGAGAGCCUGAUCCAGCCAUGCCGCGUGCAGGAAGAAGGCGUUAUGCGUUGUAAACUGCUUUUGCCAGGGGAUAAAAAGACCGUGCGCGGUUAAUUGAAGGUACCUGGUGAAUAAGCACCGGCUAACUCUGUGCCAGCAGCCGCGGUAAUACAGAGGGUGCAAGCGUUAAUCGGAAUUACUGGGCGUAAAGCGCGCGUAGGUGGUUUGUUAAGUUGGAUGUGAAAUCCCCGGGCUCAACCUGGGAACUGCACUCAAAACUGACUGACUAGAGUAUGGUAGAGGGUGGUGGAAUUUCCUGUGUAGCGGUGAAAUGCGUAGAUAUAGGAAGGAACACCAGUGGCGAAGGCGACCACCUGGACUGAUACUGACACUGAGGUGCGAAAGCGUGGGGAGCAAACAGGAUUAGAUACCCCCGUAGUCCCUGAGCGGGCUGGCAAGGCGCAU
rnacentral:rRNA from 1 species